ensembl:lncRNA
GCUGGAAUUGUAUGAUUGUGAAGACAUCGCGAACCUUAAAGGUUGAGAAGUGAACGGAUUAUACGGCGAACUGAGCCGACGUGAAAAAGGGGAUUGGAAGCGACAUUGAUGUGAGUACUAAGAGCCAGUCGAAAGUGCCCUGUAUAUUGACCUGGCGUUGUGUAGAUCUCUCCAGGAGGAGGAGGGCGGCCCUACCCCUAAUAUAGCGUGGUGGGAGAGCCGAAGGAAUACUUAUUGAAGUAGUCACAACGACGACAUCACUAGCUAGGCCGCAUAUUCCAUCGCCAGAUCCGAACCAAGCGAAGUGAAGGAAGACGGGUGUCCUUUUCGUACACUGAGUGUGGUGGGUGAGUCUUCAUGCUGUGAAAACCUAUAAUUUUGACGUGGUGCUGUAUAUUGCUGUGGGCUGCUGUGUAUUGCCGUGUGUCCUGUCAGAUAAACCCCCGCCUUCACGCACUUCGUCGCGGGAGGACAAGGAGACUGCUGGUCCUAGCCUAGUUCAGUACAGUAUAUGUUGUGAGCGUGCUUCAGAUCUCCGGAGAUAGCACGGUACGCUGUGUCCAGCCCAGAGGUGAAAGCCAUCCAAAGCAGAGUAACUGUGCUUUGCGUCCAAGUUGAUACCUGUGGAGAGGAAAGGAAAGAGAGUGAAUAACACGAGGAGGAAUAGAGCGAACCCUGUACUUACAGUACGCUGUGUCCAGCCCAGAGGUGAAAGCCAUCCAAAGCAGAGUAACUGUGCUUUGCGUCCAAGUUGAUACCUGUGGAGAGGAAAGGAAAGAGAGUGAAUAACACGAGGAGGAAUAGAGCGAACCCUGUACUUACAGUACGCUGUGUUCAGCCCAGAGGUGAGAGCCAUUCAAAGCAAACUAACUGUGCUAUUGUGCCCAAGUUGAUACCUGUGGAGAGGAAAGGAAAGAGAGAGUGAGUAACACAAGGAGAAACAGAGGAAACCUGUACUUACAGUACGCUGUGUCCAGCCCAGAGGUGAAAGCCAUCCAAAGCAGAGUAACUGUGCUUUGCGUCCAAGUUGAUACCUGUGGAGAGGAAAGGAAAGAGAGAUUGAUACCUGUGGAGAGAAAAGGAGAGAGAGUGAAUAACACGAGGAGGAAUAGAGCGAACCCUGUACUUACAGUACGCUGUGUUCAGCCCAGAGGUGAGAGCCAUUCAAAGCAAACUAACUGUGCUAUUGUGCCCAAGUUGAUACCUGUGGAGAGAAAAGGAGAGAGAGUGAAUAACACGAGGAGGAAUAGAGCGAACCCUGUACUUACAGUACGCUGUACUUGUGCCCCCGAGUGAAGAGCCAGCGGCCCCUCUGUCCACUAUCCGUGUCCAGUCCUGUUACACUUACCUUUAUGCUCUUGUGCAGAUCUAGCGGGUCCCUUUGAAGCGUCUACCUGCAUGUCGACUCGUCACUCAGGAUACAGAGACCGUGGAAACCCCCUCCCGUACACUUACCAGUACGGUUUUAGUUGGAUCCCGGCAGCCCUUGGGCAGUUCCCCCAGCAUCUGGACGACCGGGAGUAUAAUCCGCUGGGUCGCCUCGGAGUUCGUCAAAAGUAGCAGCAGGUAUCCAUUGUGCAUCCAAACUCUCAAUACUUACCACUUGUAUCUGUUACGUCCAGGAAAGGAGAGGGCCCUGGACAGUCGUCCUGCAAGCCAGAACAAAGGGGCACUUGUGAAUAAGCUGAUUGUCGUCACAUAGCCAGAAGGAAAGAGGAGUGAAGGACUCACCUGAGAUCUCCCGUGACGGAGUCUAAGAGACUCGAGACUGUUACUCUCCAAAAGGAGGGUUGGAUUUAAGCCUCCCUUCCCCAUACCCUUUUUUUUAGUAAUUUAAUAAAGUCUGUUUUAAUAUUUACUUACCGGCUCUU